UACAGAGGCCUCGAGCGUUAGGCGGAAUCACUGGGCUUAAAGCGUGUGUAGGCGGAUUGGUAAGUACCUUGUGAAAUCCCACAGCUUAACUGUGGAACUGCUCGGUAUACUGCUGAUCUUGAGCCACUCAGGGGCUACCGGAACAAAUGGUGGAGCGGUGAAAUGCGUAGAUAUCAUUUGGAACGCCAAUGGUGAAAACAGGUAGCUGGGGGUGUGCUGACGCUGAGACACGAAAGCCAGGGGAGGCAAAACGGG
rnacentral:rRNA from 1 species